CAAUGUUUACUUAAACAUAAAUAUCAUAAAAAAUUCAAUCUAAAAUACUGCUUAAUAGUUAAAAAGGAUAAAAACUAUAUGUAAAAACAGGCUUAAUAAUUAAAGAAAGUGACGGAGCUCGAAGUCACUGUUAACAUUGACAUCGACCUUUUUAAAGUGCGUGCUGGUUUUGAUGGUAUUAUUCUCUAUAUAAAUAUUCAAGUCAAGAAAAUUAACCAGACAAUUACUAAAAGUGCUUGUUAGUCUGAUGCCCCAAUCGUUGUCCUCAAUAUGGGCUAAAAAGACCAUGAGAGAUAACUCAUCUCCCCUCCAGAUAAAAAAGAUCUUGUCAAUGUAACGACGAUAGGUCACCAAGUUCGCAUCCCACCUGUGUGAAUCAAAGAUAUGUCUUUGUUCCCAUCGUGACAUAAACAGGUUAGCGUAACUGGG